rnacentral:lncRNA from 1 species
GGGGUGGGGACUUUCUCCAUUUGUCCAUAAGCUCUUAACCGGCGGCAAACGCGACACUUUCCACGGCACACCCACGCUGCCCUUAUGAACAUAUACAUUUAUUUAUAAACACCGUCAGAUUCCGUUUGGUCAGUUCACCCACGACUUUUCUGGUAUCUUGGGGGCAUUUUAAAUUCCCAGAAACACAAGGGGCUCGAUUCUUAAGGCUGGAAAACGAAAGUAUGUUGCAGAGCAAGAGAAGGCGUCAGAAAGACAACAACAUUGUGACAUAUGGAGCUGAACUCUAAUGGUUAAGAAGACUCCGUAAUGAUUGGGAAAGUUUGGACACUGAUCAUUGUGAGUAAUUAUUAAGCAAUAACAUGUUAGUACAGGUCCUGGGAACAAAAUGGAUGCAUUUCAGUGAAUUGUAGUGUGACUUAGGUUAUUGUAUUACAAGAAGAGCUGAACUAGUCAUAAUGUUAACAAAAUAAUUAUUUUUUAAUGAAUUAUCUACAAAUGGGACUUGAUUUUUGCCCUUUCCAUCAAAGGUAUUAUCACUCAUCAAAUUUAUUCAUCAUAUCCAAGCUGAAUGUAUGCAACAAGAUAUUGAGGAACACCUGGUGAGUCUAAUCUUUGUCAUUCUAUUAUUUUCUUGCAGUUAGCUGCCAUUACUCUUUUAGAAAAAUCACUCAG